CCUACGUGCGGCAGCAGUGGGGAAUAUUGGACAAUGGGGGGAACCCUGAUCCAGCGACGCCGCGUGAGUGAAGAAGUAUUUCGGUAUGUACAGCUCUAUCAGCAGGGAAGAAAGAAAUGACGGUACCUGACUAAGAAGCCCCGGCUAACUACGUGCCAGCAGCCGCGGUAAUACGUAGGGGGCAAGCGUUAUCCGGAUUUACUGGGUGUAAAGGGAGCGUAGACGGCGAUGCAAGUCUGAAGUGAAAGGCGGGGGCCCAACCCCCGGACUGCUUUGGAAACUGUAUGGCUGGAGUGAAGGAGAGGUAAGUGGAAUUCCUAGUGUAGCGGUGAAAUGCGUAGAUAUUAGGAGGAACACCAGUGGCGAAGGCGGCUUACUGGACUGUAACUGACGUUGAGGCUCGAAAGCGUGGGGAGCAAACAGGAUUAGAUACCCGGGUAGUC
rnacentral:rRNA from 1 species